rnacentral:rRNA from 1 species
GACGAACGCUGGCGGCGUGCCUAAUACAUGCAAGUAGGACGCAGUUGCGAACGGGUGAGUAACGCGUAGGUAACUGCCUAUUAGAGGGGGAUAACUAUUGGAAACGAUAGCUAAUACCGCAUACUAGUAGAUGGACCUGCGUUGUAUUAGCUAGUAGGUAGGGUAAUUGCCUACCUAGGCGACGAUACAUAGCCGACCUGAGAGGGUGAUCGGGCAAACUGGGACUGGGAAACGGGCCAGACUCCUACGGGAGGCAGGAGGAGGGAAUCUUCCGCAAUUGGGGGAAACCUGACCGGGCAACGCCGCGUGAGUGAAGAAGGGUUUCGGAUCGUAAAGCUCUGUUGUUAAGGAAGCGGUACUUAACCAGAAAGGGACGGCUAACUACGUGCCAGCAGCCGCGGUAAUAC